GACGAGCGCUGGCGGCGUGCUUAACACAUGCAAGUCGAGCGGUAAGGCCCUUUCGGGGGUACACGAGCGGCGAACGGGUGAGUAACACGUGGGUGACCUGCCCUUAGCUCUGGGAUAAGCCUGGGAAACUGGGUCUAAUACCGGAUAUGACUCCAUGACGCAUGUUGUGGGGUGGAAAGCCUUGUGCGGCUGAGGAUGGGCCCGCGGCCUAUCAGCUUGUUGGUGGGGUGANGGCCUACCAAGGCGACGACGGGUAGCCGGCCUGAGAGGGCGAUCGGCCACACUGGGACUGAGACACGGCCCAGACUCCUACGGGAGGCAGCAGUGGGGAAUCUUGCGCAAUGGGCGAAAGCCUGACGCAGCGACGCCGCGUGAGGGAUGACGGCCU
rnacentral:rRNA from 1 species